UGAAGUUCUCUUGAUCUUUUCCUGUGCUACUUAUUUUCUAUUUUGUUACAAUUUGUAGCUUACAAGUUCAUCGAAUCGAGCCCUACUUCCUCGUUUUUGUGUCGACAUUCUACUGUAAAAACUUCCAGAACCAUUAUGUAUUUUGGAAAGAGCUGAUAUGAUAAAAAGUUUGUUCAUAAUGUGCGUUGAUAAAUUGUAAUGUGUUAAAUGCUGAUCGACUUUGUCAUACUAACUCAUACUCGUACCUACUAAGAGAUGCAAGCAACAAUAACAAGCUCUUGAAGAAUGUUCCAGUCGGAGAGUUGGAAACAAUUGUGUCUGUAUAAGUUGUGGAAUAUCUUUGGACAGGCACUCAAGAACACAAAAUCAUAGGCUUAUGGAAAAAAGUGAUAAGUGGUAUUAUAUAGAAAAACAAAUAUCUCUGAGACAGAUGCCUGAUGGAUGCUUGGAUUAGAGAUGGAUGGUUGUUUGCAGGAUGAGCUCACAUCAAAAGCAUUAAUAUCUAGUGAACAGUAAAGCUGUGUUAAGUGUGCCGUUGCAUAUUAUAUAGUUAGUAGCUAUUUAUGUUCAUAGAUGGUGUUCAAACUACAUAUGAGCUUAAAUCAUUUUAAAUUAUCAUAUCAUUAAAUAGAUAAAAAAUAACAAUGUAUAUUUUAAUGUUAUUGUUAAGUUUUUCUAUACCUACUUACUAAUAAUGUAACCAUACAUCUCAUCAUCUCCUAUCAUGUAGAUUGUAAAGUGGAUGGCCAACCUCAUCGACCCUGUUACAGGGUUAUUACUGAGCCACUAAAGUCUCCUGACAUGGUUUAUGUAACAACUAUGUAUUUACAUUAGUAAGUAGUAACCGGGACCAACAGCUUUACAUGCCAUCCGAAGGAUCACAAAGUAAUUUUUGUGAUAUGUCCACACCGGGUUCGAACUCUGGAUUGUGAGCCCAUUAGUCAACCACUCUGUAUCACAGAGGCCGAGAGUACUUGGUUAAAUUUAUGUUUUAUUUGAACAAUUACACGUUACGCUGUUGGUCCCGGUUACUACUUACUGAUGUAAGUAAGUAGUCGUUACAUGAGUCAUGUCAGGGGCCUUUGGCGGCUCAAUAGUAACCCUGACACCAGGGUUGAUGAGGUUGGUACGUCACCUCACAACCCACACGAUAAGAAGAAGAUUUGAACAAUUUGAUUAAUUGUAGAAAUAUUUUGUAUGAGUUGCACCUAUGACAUUA